rnacentral:rRNA from 1 species
AUUGAACGCUGGCGGCAGGCUUAACACAUGCAAGUCGAGCGGAGAGAGGUAGCUUGCUACCGAUCUUAGCGGCGGACGGGUGAGUAAUGCUUAGGAAUCUGCCUAUUAGUGGGGGACAACAUUUCGAAAGGAAUGAUAAUACCGCAUACGUCCUACGGGAGAAAGCAGGGGAUCUUCGGACAUUGCGCUAAUAGAUGAGCCUAAGUCGGAUUAGCUAGUUGGUGGGGUAAAGGCCUACCAAGGCGACGAUCUGUAGCGGGUCUGAGAGGAUGAUCCGCCACACUGGGACUGAGACACGGCCCAGACUCCUACGGGAGGCAGCAGUGGGGAAUAUUGGACAAUGGGCGGAAGCCUGAUCCAGCCAUGCCGCGUGUGUGAAGAAGGCCUAUGGUUGUAAAGCACUUUAAGCGAGGAGGAGGCUACUUUAGUUAAUACCUAGAGAUAGUGGACGUUACUCGCAGAAUAAGCACCGGCUAACUCUGUGCCAGCAGCCGCAGUAACAC